UUUAAGCAUAUCACUAAGCGGAGGAGAAGAAACUAACCAGGAUUUCCCUAGUAACGGCGAGCGAACCGGAAAGAGCCCAGCUUGAAAAUCGCGAGGUUCCGCCCCGCGAAUUGUAGUCUGGAGAAGCGUCCUCUGCAACGGACCGGACCCAAGUUCCCUGGAACGGGACGUCGGAGAGGGUGAGAGCCCCGUCGAGUUCGGACCCUGUUGCUCCACGAGGCGCUGUCUGCGAGUCGGGCUGUUUGGGAAUGCAGCCCUAAGCGGGUGGUAAAUUCCAUCCAAGGCUAAAUACAGGCAAGAGACCGAUAGCGAACAAGUACCGCGAGGGAAAGAUGAAAAGGACUUUGAAAAGAGAGUUAAAAAGUGCUUGAAAUUGCUGGGAGGGAAGCGAAUGGAAGCUGCGGGUGCGCCUCGGUUGGAUGCGGAACGGCGAAAGCUGGUCCGCCGCUCAACGCGGGGCGCUGGUCAGCGUGGGCCAUCGCGGCGGGACAAGAGCCGGCUUCUGUUGCCGGCCUAUGCCGUUGCGGUGGCCGAGGGACGAAGCGCGCGCCACUUGUGGCGGGCCCUAGGGCACCUGCGCGCUCGGGACGCUGGCGUAUUGAGCUCUCCAUCCGACCCGUCUUGAAACACGGACCAAGGAGUCUAACAUGUAUGCGAGCCGGUGGGCGGCAAACCCAUUGAGGCGCAAGGAACCUGACAGGUGGGAUCCCCCCGGGGAGCACCAUCGACCGACCGUGAUCUUCUGUGAAAGGUUUGAGUGUGAGCAUACCUGCUGGGACCCGAAAGAUGGUGAACUAUGCCUGAGCAGGGCGAAGCCAGAGGAAACUCUGGUGGAGGCUCGUAGCGAUACUGACGUGCAAAUCGUUCGUCAGACUUGGGUAUAGGGGCGAAAGACUAAUCGAACCAUCUAGUAGCUGGUUCCCUCCGAAGUUUCCCUCAGGAUAGCUGGAGCUCGUGAAGUUUUAUCAGGUAAAGCGAAUGAUUAGAGGCAUCGGGGGUGUAACACCCUCGACCUAUUCUCAAACUUUAAAUAGGUAAGCCGCCAGGGUUGCUUGGUUGAACCCUGGCACAGAAUGAGA
rnacentral:rRNA from 1 species